AUGACUUUGACAUAUCUAAAAUAACAGUGAUCAGGACUGAAACUUGCAGACGCUUCUCGUCUUGAGCACUAGCAUUUGCAUCCAUGGAGUUUUAGGAUGGUUGUGAACCCAUUGUUUGGUACAAAAGUUACCUUUGCAUACAACAGCCUCAUUAGAACCCAUGCUUCUUCAUCUCCCUCCCUUGCUCUCACCCUCUUCUCUAACAUGCGCCGAGCUGGCGUCUCGCCUGAUCACUUCACUUUCCCUUUUGCACUCAAGGCCUGCUCUCGCCUCCAAAUGGGUCAAGACCUCCAUUCACUAAUAGUAAAGCUGGGCUUUGAUACUAAUAUUUAUGUACAGAACGCAUUGAUUCAUCUUUAUGGGUAUUGUGGCUUGGUUGAUGUUGCUUUUAAGGUGUUCGACGAAAUGCUUGAUAGAGACCUCGUCUCAUUGUCUUCCAUGAUUGCUUCUUUGGUUAACAAUGGUCUUGCCCAAGACGCUUUGGCUUUGUUUCAAAAAAUGCAACUUGAUGGGAAUGUAAAGCCUGAUGAGGUGGUCAUGCUCAGCGUUGUAUCUGCUAUUUCCAACUUAGGGGUACUAAAAUUGGGUAGGUGGAUUGAUGCUUAUAUUUUCAGAAAUAAGUUGAAACUUACUGUAUCACUGGGUACUGCUCUCAUCAACAUGUAUUCCAGAUGUGGCUCUGUUGAUGAUUCUAUCAGAGUGUUUGAUAAGAUGCCUGAAAGAAACGUGUUAACCUGGACUGCUUUGAUUAGCGGGCUUGCAGUGCAUGGACGAUGCAGGGAGGCUCUUAGAGGGUUCUAUGAGAUGCGAGAAACCAAUUUGCGACCCGAUCAUAUUACAUUUAGUGGUGUUUUAGCAGCAUGCAGCCAUGGUGGUCUUGUUGAUGAUGGCUGGAAAGUUUUCAAAAGCAUUAAGACCGAUUACGGUAUUGAACCCACAGUUGAGCAUUAUGGUUGUAUGGUUGAUCUCCUAGGCCGUGCA
rnacentral:misc_RNA from 1 species